CAAGCAGCUUCAGACUCCAUUCACCGUUGUUUCACAAGCAGCUUCAGACUCCAAAUCUUGCUCCUCAGCGCCACAUUCUUCUAUCACCACUGUUCCAUAACCACAGUCAUCCACCGCAUUCUUCCAUCAUCAAUACCUUUGGGACUUCCAUCACUCUCGUCGUUGUCAUUCAUCAUUCUCGGUCCCUUGAACAAACAGGACCUGGAGUUUUUCUGAGCUGGGUUGGAGCUGAAUCCAAGUUAUCUUGAGCAGGCCACUAGUGUUGUAUUGCGGAGUCUCUGAUAGAAGUUAAUCUUCAUUUGGACAGGCUGGAAGGAGCAGGCCGUGGCGGAGUACUGCAAGAUUAACUCUCGGAUGGCGGUGCCAUCGAUGACAGGAGCCACGUAAGCCAUGGCAGUGAAAGAUGCGGCAGUCGUGAAAGAGGCAGUGGAGGAGAAAGCAGCAACGGAAUACCACAAGAUUAACUCAGAUAAUGCCACGGAAGACAAAAAGCCAAAUCAGCCAGGUGGCAGUGGCGUCGGCUGUAGCAUUGACUUAGUACGAUGGAAUGAAGCCGAAUUUUCUUAGCGUUUUUUAGUCUUUGCGGGCGUUGACGAGGUUAAUGGAAGUUCAUUACUAUUUGAAUCUUAAAAAAAAAGUCUUCAACUGGUAUGUUUGUAGUUGCUGUCAA